GGAAAGUCUUCGGUUCGGGUACAAGACUUUUCGUGAUAGGUAAGAAAAAAAUCACAUCAUUAAGGUCUUCUAGGCUGAUUUUAAGCAUUUUAAACUUAAUUUCACACUAAUUACUUGUGCAAUUCAGCUGAAGAAGAGAGAAUAGCUAGUGUAGAAUAGCAAUUCCAGGCUGCUUUAGUGAGUGUGCAUGUUUGCAUAAAAAAGGUGAAAAUAUGCUAAAGUCAUUGUUUACCCAAAAUGAAAAGUCUGUCAUUAUUUUCUCACCCUCAUGUCAUUCUAAACCUGUAUGACUUUUUUCUGUGGAGCACAAAAGGAGAUAUUUUGAAAACUGUGCAAUUGUUUUGUGCAUACAAUGAAAAUAAUAAUAAAAAAGGUUCAGUGUGAUUUUGGACCCCACUGACUUCCAUUGUACGAACGAAAACAGUUCUAAAACAUUCUUCAAAAUAUCUUUUGUGUUCUACGGAAGAAUAAAGUCAUAUGUUGAAUAGUAUGAGGGCGAUGAUAACAGAAUUUUCUUUUUUGUUUUUGUGAAUUAUCCCUUUAAAAUAGUGUAGACCAUCAGGAACAGUGGUCUUAAUCAAUUAUAUAGUAGGCUAGAAGGUUUUUCAUUAUUCAGAAGUAUUUGUAAUAGACUUUAUCUGAGUGGGCAACUGGAUCAAAAGAUUUGGAUCUGGAACACGGCUGGUUGUAACCGGUAGGAAACAGUGUCAGAAUUUCUUCAAAUGCAUAAAAUUAUAUAAUUUCUAAGUAAAAACUAUGCCAGUCAUUCUCUUUUUGCUUAUUUGCUCAUUUGCUCAUUGAUCACUGAAGCUAUGUUCAACAUGUGUUUCUCUCAAGACCCAAAGAAAGAAAUUGUUACGGUACCAGAGUUGACUGGAUACCGACCAUCAAAAAAAAACACUGACAUUCAUGGCAAACAGACAAUGUUAUGCCAUGCCAGUGGCAUGGUUCCUGACUUUGUGACAUUCAAAUGGCAAGAAAAGAGCGGUGCAGGACAGUGGACAGAUGUAUCAGAGGAAAAUGUUUUGGAGCAGAGGAAAGAAAGUCCAGCUGUCACUGUGACAAGUAUGAUGAUUGUAGAUAAAAACAUGGCAGAAAACAAGGACUACCAAUGCAUUGUUACCCAUGAGGGAAACACUGAGAAUCCUUCCAAAUCUCUUGAAAUGAAGAAAGAAAACAGUAAGCCGGCAAAGGAAUCUAAAAAUGAUGCUCAGAACCCAACAUGUUCACCCAGCACUGAGGAGACCAUAAAAAAGCAAAUAUCAGGAGAUUCAGAGCAAAUACCAAGUAUGUUCCUGUUUGUCUAUGCAUAUGGUGUCUUGCUCAUGAAGAACGGUUUAUUUUUUUGCAUUGUGUCUAUGUUUCAAUUAAAGAGAAAAGCUGGAAAGAAAGACAAAAGCUCAGAGACUUAAUGCAUAAGAUAAAUAUCAAGCAAGCAAAGGUUUAUUACAUAAAGCACAUUUCGCUAACUAAAGAAUAGAUGCAUAUCUACAGCAAUAUUAUUUCUGCUUAAAAUGUAUGGCUUUUAAAUUUGUUGUAGAUCUGCUUUGAACAAUUUACUUUUUCAUCUUUAAAAUGCAAUAUUUUGAUUUUUUAAAAUGUAUAAUGUACCCA
ensembl:lncRNA